UACGGAGGGGGCUAGCGUUGUUCGGAAUUACUGGGCGUAAAGCGCGCGUAGGCGGACCUGCAAGUCGGGGGUGAAAGCCCGAGGCUCAACCUCGGAACUGCCUUUGAUACUGCAAAUCUCGAGUCCGGAAGAGGUGAGUGGAAUUCCUAGUGUAGAGGUGAAAUUCGUAGAUAUUAGGAAGAACACCAGUGGCGAAGGCGGCUCACUGGUCCCGGUACUGACGCUGAGGCUGCGAAAGCGUGGGGAGCAAACAGGG
rnacentral:rRNA from 1 species